AGUUGAUGACUGAGAAGGAGAAGCUCAAGAAGAUAUGUGGAUGGAGAAGUACCUGAGGCUCCUCGAAGAACAACAGCAGGAGGCCCACAUCAUCCUUCACUUUCCUCCUCCUCCACCUGAAUAUGUGUUGCACACAAACAUUGAAAGGCGUGGCUUAAUGUGUGAAGUGUAUACAAGGAUAUGUGUUCUACACGAACAAUCAAAGAGAUGGAUUAAUUGGUGGACGAGGGGACGACCCUUGCUCGCUUUCCCA